rnacentral:rRNA from 1 species
AGUGAACGCUGGCGGUAGGCCUAACACAUGCAAGUCGAACGGCAGCACAGUAAGAGCUUGCUCUUACGGGUGGCGAGUGGCGGACGGGUGAGGAAUACAUCGGAAUCUACUUUUUCGUGGGGGAUAACGUAGGGAAACUUACGCUAAUACCGCAUACGACCUACGGGUGAAAGCAGGGGAUCUUCUGACCUUGCGCGAUUGAAUGAGCCGAUGUCGGAUUAGCUAGUUGGCGGGGUAAAGGCCCACCAAGGCGACGAUCCGUAGCUGGUCUGAGAGGAUGGUCAGCCACACUGGAGCUGGGCCACGGUCCAGACUCCUACGGGAGGCACCAGUGGGGAAUGUUGGACAAUGGGCGCAAGCCUGAUCCAGCCAUACCGCGUGGGUGAAGAAGGCCUUCGGGUUGUAAAGCCCUUUUGUUGGGAAAGAAAAGCAGCAGGUUAAUACCACGCUGUUCUGACGGUAACCAAAGAAUAAGCACCGGCUAACUUCGUG